GCUUGCAGCUUGCUCUCUCCCAACGCUGGACUUAGUGUCUGGAGAAGUCACUUUUCACUCUGAGAUUGACAUGGCUUUGUGUAAGAUCUGCCUGGAUGAGAAACAGUGAUACAGCUAAAACAAGUGCAUACCAUGGAGUGGACUUGAUACAUCAGGUAAAUGGUCAGUGCAUGUGACUCUUUCAACCACAUAAUCAAAACAAAGAAUGGCAAAUCUCCAGGUACCAGAACUGAAGAGAGAUGUCAAAGGCUUGAGUUUCUUCUUGGGAAAUCUCCACCUCUGCAGGCAGCAGCUGCUAAUAGCAGAAUUUGAUGAAGAAGAUGCCAGGAUCCUAUCUGGAAUUCACGAAAUCCCGGCCAGCCCUACUCACCAGGGUCUGAAUCUCCUUUAAUCCAGGAAAUUUAACUCAAGAGCAUGUGGGAACUGAAUUCCAUGCUCUGCAUGUUAUUGCAGGUGCUGAAGGCCAAACAAAGCACCUGCUUUUUGCAUUUGAGACACACUGAAACAAAGCUCUGUUCUGGGAGCUCCACCCAGACACUUCAAGCAGAAGGCAGAAAGUUUACAUCUGGGAAUCUGUGGCCUGUGGGAACUGGUGCCCAUGUCUUCCCAACUCCGUGUUGCAGACAUCAGAGCAAUUGAUUGAAAUAAACCACACAAGAGUGUGGUAGAAAACUGGUGCUGCAGAAAUCAGCAUAUACAUCAAGAUUCUUCUUUUCUCUAGAGCCAGUCUAAAGUACACACUCUCCCAACCCCAUUUUGCCCUGCUCCCCUUUCCCCUCCACUUCCCAGUCCCUCUUGGGAGAGCUGGGUUCCCAAAGAAACACUUGUGACAAACAGAGAGGUCGUGUCUCCCUACGAAGAUUAAUUUGUCCAUUUCCCUUAAUGCAGGAAGUUCCUUGGCAGUGUUUUUUAGAUAAUAGUGCUGAAAGACCACGUCCUCUCUGGCCAUUCACAGUGGGUUUAUGUGGCAAUUGUUUGCUAAGAAGGUGCUGAAAUCUUCCCAGAACACACAGUACAAAGAUUGACCGAGAAAAGCCUCCCUUAGUGGACUGUGGUUUUAAGAGUCAACAUAUGCACAAACACGUUCCCAUACCAGAAAAACAAAUCUUUAUUACUUUCCCCUUCUCCUUUUCCCUUCUUCAAACUCCUAAGACCACUCAAGUAGAGAACAUUUUGAAAUUAAGACAAUAAGAAAUUCAAGGCCUUCAGCCCAAGGUUUAUGUUACGCUGUUGUUAGUACUGUCCCUGAAAUGGCAUCAUUAGGCGGGGGCAUGGAUGCUAAUCAGCGUUACACGGAAGGACCAUUCAUUUCCAAAAGACCGUUCCAGACUGCAGUGUCUUCCUGGGGUCAUAUGUCUUUGAAGGAAUUGCAAAAGGAAGAUUUGUUUUCUUAAAAGCAUCCUCCAUUAUACAAAUGUCAAGUUUCAGAAGAACUGGACCGCUCUCCCCCUGGGUUAUUUCAUAUUGCUUUUGCUUAGCUUAUUGGAAGUCACAAUCUCACUUCCACUCCUACCCCUCGCAUUAACUGAACUCCUGCCCUCUUUCCCUCAUUCUAACAAAUUCUCAAGUAAGUUCUGUGUGAUUACUAAGAAAAAGAAAAUGGAUAUUCACUUAACUUCUAAGGGGAAAAUAUAAUUUUAUUGGCAAGAAAGUUUAGAGCUCAGUUGCCUUCCAACUUACUAAGUCAAAACACCGAUCCUCCCCAAGCCCUCAGCCUACUGCCCACAAGUCAACUUUCUUUCUUAGCCUGGUUACAUUGGCCUUGUCCUUCAGGCUCAGCUUUCUUGUCUUGGGAGCCCCUCCUAGGUGAGUGGCCCCUCCAGUGAACUCCCACCUUGACUUCCCCCUACAGAGGACUUAUCCCACCAUUUGUAAUGGACUUACCACACCAUUAAAGUGUGAGCCCUAAGGGUCCUGUGUGUGUCAUAGAACAUUACCUCUCAGAGUGGCUGGCACAAAACCAGACCCCAAUACAUACUUAUUGAGUGGAUACCUGAAUGAACAGAAGAAUACUCUUCUGAAUUGGGAGUCAGAAUACCCAAACUCUGGUUACAUCUCUACUACUAAGGAACUUGGGAAUAUUGAACAAGCCCAUAAAUUCCCUGAACCACAUUUUCCACAUACAGAUGUUCACAGUGGGGAUCCCAAGUGGGCCCCAAGCUAGGACUGUCUCUAGGGCCUCAUACAUCUGGAGCCAGUCUUCACAGGAAGGAGAGAGGCACCUCCUAAGGGAGAUUUCCUCCUAAGGGAAGACAAAGAGGGGCAGACAACUGGGUUUUAGAGAGGUUGGUUGGUGCGGAGGAAGGCCGGCUGCAUUCACACUACCUGGGCCUGUCACUUUGGUGGUUCUCUAGCCCAGGCCACAUGAGAUAUGAAUGAGUAAGCAAAAUUUGUUUUCCAUUUGUUUUGCUUCUGCUAAUUGCUUCACUGGGCUUUGGGAUAUCAACCAUUAGCAGCAUUAGUAUUGGGGCAGAGACAAGGUAUGACCUGGGGGCUCUGGGACAUGAUGGCUUGGCAAUGUCAGCAGCGGUGAGGGACUGUUUGGUGCACCCUGGAGGUAGACAACCUCUCCUGAUAAAAUAAGGAGCUGAAGACACCACCACAGUGAGAUGGAGCAGCAGAGAAGGAAAAUGGCAGACAUCUAGUGUGAUAAGAAGACAAUUCACAGAAUAUCACACACCUCGGACAUGUGCAAAACUCUAAAGAAUGUAAGGAGGCUCUACAUCUCGCAAAAUUGGAGGAAUCAGUUUUCCCGUAGCCUUCUUCAUUCACUUUCGCCAGAAGAGCAGGAAGAUACUCUUGAAGGUGGAGAUGCAGCAUUGGAGGUACACGAAAAAGCUGCACUCUGACUUUGAUCAACACCGCUUUGCUUCGCCUGGUGUUGACCUUAUAAAUGGCCAUAUAAAUGGGACCACACAGCGUGGAGCCUGUGGAUCUGGUUUCCUUCAUUCAGCAUCACACCUGUGAGAUUCAGCCAUCUCGUGGAAUACAACCCAGCAAACCUUUGGAAAAACAUGGCGACAGACUGGAUGGCCAUUUCUGAACAGGUGAUGUCCGUGAAGGUACUGUUCCUCAUUCUUUGACUCUGUUUCCUGGAUACAUCAUCCCAAAUGCUGACAUCAUCUAGCACCUGGAAGCUCCAUUAGUGUGGGUUUUCCUCUUGAAGGGAAAGUGGAUGCCACACCUGCAUGCAGUACCAUGAAAAUUCUUCUGUAACAUCCUGUGUAAUGUGCUUUGCAGAUCUAUCUCAGCCCUGUAUAGUUUAAUCAUUUCAUUCACAGUAUAUUAAUUACAAUGGAACACAGAGACUGAGGGAGUUGAAUGACAGUAAUGGGGAAGAUUUCUCAAUGGAAGGAGACCCACUGGGGAGUCUUAGCCUUUUUUUCCCAGCUCUGGGGUGAUCCUUGGCUGGAUGAAAUCAUUAGAGUGAACUAAGAUACUAAACAAAACCCAAGGUAAUCCCUGCCCUUUUUUGAACUGAAUGAUUUUAAUCUGAAAGAAGAAUGAAUAGCUGUAAUACAGUUGCAUAAACUUAAAUGAUCACAAUUUAAGAAACUGAAUUGGUUUUCGUGGGUAUUUUUUCCUACUGCUGUUGAAAGGUAAUUUGCCUGAAAGUCAAAGACAAGGGGAGAGAAUUUUGUUGAGCAUACGGUGGUUAGCUCUGUUCCAUGGUCUCAAAGUGCCCUUCGCCAGGGCCGGGUCAUAUCAACAUCAGUAACUCAUGCAAUGUGACAGUGGAGGGAGUGUCUGAUGGAGAACAUUUCCAAACGUGAUAGACCGAAACUGCUCUCAAGUAACCUGGAACUGUUCCCGGAGAUGACGGCCUCUGUUACAUGUAUUUCCUUCUAGGGAAAGAUUUCUUCGUUUCCCAUAUUCCCACAAAUUAAACCUAAGUUAAAAUAUUUGCAGCAGAACAGAACUUACUGUUAGAAGAGACAAACCCAUCUCAUUGAUCGCAACAAUUUUCAACCUUCUUCAGCUUAUUCUACAUGACCCUUGAGUUUGAAGUAGGGCUUAAAUGUGAAAAAGGAGCAUGGAAAAGAGAAAAGGGAAGGAGUGUGGCAAGAGUGAGGAAGAGCUCUUAGAGGAUCUUUUUUCAAAGUCAGGAACUUGACACAAUAAAGGCAGUUUGAGAAUCUUAUAUCCUGAUAUUCUUCUACUAUUAGAGAGAGAAUUAGGGUGUGACUCUCAGCUGAAUAUACACCUUGAGAAUCCUGAAACAUUAGGGUAGAUUACUGGGGAGUCCUCCUUCAUGAGGGACCACAGACCUUCUUGCACAAAGAGUGCACAUGCCAAGAUUUGAACCCAAAGCUCUGUAGGAGAUAAGUGCUUUGUCUCGUCUGUGGAAAGAGAAACUUCACAUUUCUCAGAGGGUAGAAAAUUCUUCCCGAGGAAAGAACAGUCUAAAAGAUAUGCAACGAACACCCCUGAGUGUUGUGCUAGCUUCUGUUUCAUACGUGUGACCCUCUUGGGAAGCUCAUUCUAAGUUCUCGGAAAAGGUACCUUUAAACUGGAUCUUUAAAAGAAUCAGUUGGCCCUUAGAAGACCUAAGAGAACCAUAAUCAUUGGCAAGCCUACCUAUCCAAGGUAGAUGGAAGAACUUUGUUUACUUUAUUUGUAAUAUCCCCAAACUAGGAAGACCCCAACUGUCUAUUAUUAAUUGAAUGGAUAAAAAAAUUGGAUAUCAUCUAACAGAAUACUAUUCUCCAUCAAGAACAAAUGAGAUAGUAGUACAUGUAAAGAUAAGGAUGAAUCUCCAAAUAAUUAUACUGAGUGGAGGAAGGCAGACAAAAAGAACACAUACUCUAUGAUUCCACUUACAGAAGACUCUAAAAGCACAAACAAAUCCAUAGUAACAGAAAGCAGAUCAAGAGUCACUUGAGUAUUUGAGGAGGGUGAGGAAGGGUGGGAAGAAGAAAUUACAAAGGUGCAGAAGGAAAUUCCAGGCAAUGAUGUUUGUGGUCCUGUCCUGACUGUGGUGAUUGCUUUAUAGAUAUUUUCACAUGUCAGACGUAUCAAAUUAUAUACUUUACAUAAUGUAUGUUAAGUAUGUCUCAAGAAAGCUGUUAGGCAAACACACAAACAACUCUGCCCACUCAAUGGCCAGGACAAUUAAGUUGGAUUUUGAGACCUCUUGGAAAAGCAAAAGCUUACCUCCAGGAACAGAAUGUGUUUUAUGAAAAUGGUGAGAAUGUCAAAGUGGCAUGUUGUCCAUGGACCAGCCACGGGACAGCUACAUUAGCUUCCAAAGUGGUCAGAGCUGCUGAGUUUGGGACCUUAAUAGUAAGACCAAGUGAGAUUUUGGAGCUAAAUCAACUAACUUUGCUAGUAACAUCCAAGUCUUUAGUUAUAGGUAAGAAAACUUGAAUUGCAGCCAGGGGUGGGAAAAGAUCAAAGUGAAUAUUAUGAAGGGUAAAUAACUGUGCCCUUGGCAUUUAAGCAUGAGAUUGGGAUGCCAGGGAUAAACUGGAAGACAGGAAGAUCAACUUAAUUGCCUGGAGCUACAUUUGCUCUGGGUCAGUCCACCAACAGCAAGGCCUACUUCUUUGUCUUCAUUUUUACGAAGGCAUUUACCAACCAGGAGUGCAUUGCCCCAGGAUAGAAGAACCAAAUAGGAAGAAACAUGAGUUUCCACACCAGGCCAUAUAUAGAAAAAGCAAGACUUCAUUGUGGCUCCAGCGGACUGAAGUUAGAGUCAAUGGUAAAAAUUAUUGGGGGCCAGUACUUAAUUUAAUAUAGAAGAAGUUAUUAGUAAAUGGCGGGUGAUAUUUUAAAAAUGAAAUGGGCUGCUUUGUGAGACAGCAAUCUCCUUGCCAGCAAGAGCAUUGGAGCAGAAGCUAAGUACAGAUAUUGUUUCUACAGUCUGUGCUCCCUUGAGCUAAAUUACGUGUGAUUAAAUUGAUUCAUUCAGGAACACAAUCUGUCUUAUGCAGACCACUGUUAGUUACAACAUGAUAACUGUGUGUGCAUAGGAAAAAAAUUUUUGCAGUAGGCAUGGUAAUACACAGAUGUUUUAAGUGGCUGCUUGCUUCAUGCAAUUGUGAACUGAGUUGCAAUUUUGUGCAUUUUUGCUGUCUAACUUGAAUUGCGUUUAUUUUUUAAACAGUAUGCAAUAUAGGUGAUGCGGAGGUAUAUAUGAAACUGUGACUUGCUCAGUUAAAUUAAUUGCCUUUCGACAUGACUUUUAAUGAAGUGAGUUUUCUCAUGAUUACUAUUUUAACAACUACCGUGUCACACACAGCCCCUGGAGCAGGGCUGGUCACACUGGGCAAUAUUAGACUAGAUCUUCUAAGGUGAUUGUCACUUCUUCAGUCAAUUGAUUCUAAUAAUCUUAGACAGGGUCAUUGAUAAGGAUGAACUUCCUUCUACUGGGAACAUUCCCCUGGCCCCAUCUUGCCCUCCUUCCCCAUUUUUGGCUGGAUUCUUCCUUCGUAUUAGUCAGUUUUCAAAUCAGAGACUCUGAGAGUACAUUUUGGAGGGAAAGGAUCAAUAUUUUGGUUUCUGCUAUGUUACAAUUUCAGAUGCUCUGCAACACCCAAAGAAAGAUAUGAGUUGAAGGUUGAGUACAUGAGUCUGAAGUAUGGGGAAGAGAGAGCAUAGUAUGGGUGGUACCUACCCAUGGAUAGGGGUAGGGACCUACCAUGGAGAAAGGAAGGAGGUGAAGCAGGGAGCCCUCUGGGCUUCCUGACAUAUGGAGAUCUAGUGGAGAGGCCAGGGAUGGGACAGCCAGGGAGGCAGGAGGAACUUGAGGUGAGCAUCAGGUCACAAAAGCCUGGGGAAUAAAAUAGUUCCAAAAGCAGGAAAAGGUACAUCAUUUCUAUGCUCUUUUUACCAAAAAUGGGUAACUGAAUAUAAUCAUGGGGAAACAGCAGGCAAACUCAAAUUAAGAAACAGUCUACAAAAUAAUAAAUGGCCUUGGGUCCUCAAGUAUAUCAAGGACACAGAUGAUAAGGAGAGAAAUAGACUGUUCAAGAUUAGAAAGAGUAAAGAGGCAUGACAGUGAAAUGCAAGGUGUGAUCUUGAAUUGGACCUGAUCUCGAAAUUUUUUUCUUUUGCUAUAAAAGACAUUAUUGGCACAAUUGGUGAAAUUUGGAUAGGGUCUAUAGAUUUGAUAAUAUUUUUAUAUUGAUAUUAAUUUCCUGAUUUUGAUAAUUCUACUGCAGUUGUAUAAGAGGAUGUCACUUGUUGUUAAACACAAAAGGGCUGAAUAUGUUCUCAAAGAGUUCAGAAAAAAAUCUCUUUAUCAUCUGUUUAUCACCUGUCUAUUGAUCAUCUAUAAUCUAUCUACCAUGAGAAAGACAAAGCAAAUGUAAAAUUUUAAUUUGAAAAAAUAUGAGUGAAACAUAUAUGAUAAUGGUUUGUCUUAUUUUAUAAUUUUUCUGUCUGAAAUUAUUUCCAAAUAAACAAAAUCUUUAAAAUUUUGAAAAAUAGAGGAGAAAAUGAAAAUAUAGGUGCAUGUUUCUGUCAAUCAUCAUUUUAUAGAUUGAAAUAUGUGGCCCUUCUUGGUCCCUAAAACAAGUCUUUUACUUUCAUGUGUGGAUUUUCAUAACCUUUCCAUUUCAGAAACUUAGAGCAAGGUCUCCAGACUCAAGGUGCCUUUGACCAUUUUUUUUUCCAUAAAGGACUUCUAAUGAUCUUGGAUAGAAUUGAGCCCUGUUGAAAGAAUACUUCUGUAUGGUUUAUGGGCCUAUUCUGCUUGACAUGUAAGUCUAUUAAAAUGACUUUUCUCAUGAAGGGAUUCUUUGAUACAUUAGAACAAUGAUGAUAUUAUUGUUACUCAACCAUUUCAUUUCAAGAGGCAGAGCUAUAUAUAAGUCAUAAGAAUGCAUUCAUAAGAGUUGGAAAGUCUAGCUUUGUGAGAUUGACAAGAAGACGUUUUAGUAUUAGAACAAGUGCGCUUUCUGAAGAGCAUUUCUUUGGGGUCAAGAAAAUGACAGCUGGGUUUAUAGGAUAGUCACAUCAGCUCUUUUUCCCUUUAACAUUUGCUAUUCUAUGGAGGCCAAAAAGUAUAUCUUUGUUUCCCUCCUAUUUUCUUGGCCUCUCAGACAUCUGAGUGAUUCUGUGGUUGUCACUCACCCACAAAGACUUCACAUUUACCAGAGGACUUGAGAGCAAAUUCCUCAAGCCUUCAAACUAUGGGUGAUUAGAAAAGUCAGCAUUUAUUAAUUAAGCCGUGAAAUGAACACGGACCACAAAAUAUUUGGAAGAUUAUUGCAGGAUGUGCCCAGCAGCUGUCAAGCAUGAAGGACUUCUCUUCCAAGAGAAGCCCUUCAGUCUUCAAGAUGUCCAGAGACCCCUCUAGCUAGGUUGCAGUUUUCCCUAGCUGGAGAUUUUCUAAUAUUUCUUAAUAGCUAAUAUAAAUCACAAAAUUUCAUAAUGGUAGACAGGCAUCCUAGGGUUGGCUUAAUAUGUAUCAUCUAGCAAUUUGCAGUACAGCCUACAGGGUAAGUCUGCGUAAGUUAUUUUGAUCAGUUUAUGCAGCAUAAUGAUAAUCGCUUUUGUAAAUUGCUUGUUUUUCCUUUUGUGUGAUGGAUUCACUGCUCAGCAUUUUGAGGGGGCUCAGAGACCCAUAACUUUGCAGAAAUAUUAAGCCAUCACCCCUCCAUGUUAAAACAUGAAAAUUCUCAUGAAUCAAGAAAAUGCACUUCAUAUUUCCACAACUUAAGACAAUCACAAGACACCCAUCAAAAUAUCUGUCUGCUGAAAAUAUUUACUAGCAUUUGUUUUGUUUUAGCGUUUCCUAACACAGUCCCUUUGUUGAAAGAUAAUUAUUGUUUUAUUCAUGAAUAGUAAUAAAAAAAUUUUUUUCAGUCAGAUGAAUGAUCAGCUUCUUCUAGACUGGUGCUCUUCCAUCAACUCAGAAGACAUGUACCAGAAAUGAAGGAGAAAUAAAUGAAAAUAACAGAAUGGUGGGCCCUUGCUCAACCUUACCCAAGGCCAAUGAAUGGAAAGUAUUCCAUCUUUGCUGUAUCUUCCUCAGAGCAUCAAUAAAUAUUCAGCAAAUAAUCCCUGGGUGCCAUCCUGUAUGCUCUGAUGGUGAUGAGCCAGAAGGGGUGAACAUGGACAAUGUACUUGGCUGAGGUUGCCACCCAGUCACAUCUCUCACUCUUCUUGGUUGGCUUCUGGAGUGGCUGUAGGUGUUAACACCCAUACGAAAAUGCACCAAAUUCUGUCUUUGUAGUCGUAAAUGUCAGUGACUUUUCCUUAACAGUACAGCUUCGUUAGGUAAAUAUCUCAAACAGAACUCUUGGUCUGAUAUCCAAGAAAAGACAAGGGGUGACUGAGUUAAAAAUGGGUUGCUCCUACUAACGUGACAUCUCUUUAUGAGCUUAGAUUCUUGAAGUUAAAAGAAACUUUAAAAGAUGCCUCAUGAAAUAUUUUCUUGGUGUUGAAUUUCUCCCCCGACCAAUAACUGUCUUGACUUUGGGCUGUUUGUGUUCAUAUGGCUUGGGAUUGGCAAUUCACUGCCUCCUAAGAAAUCUCUGUAAAAAAUCUUUUUGUUAUAAAGAAAAUGCUUUCUCUUAUAUUGAGACAAGUACUUUUAUUAUUGGUUUCCUACUGUAGACCAAGGAGUCUUUUACUUCAUUUUACACAGCUUGGUGCCAAGAUCUAGGAAAACAAGUCUAAUUCCUUUUGAUGUGAUAGGGACUCAAGUACCUGAGGAUGGUAAUGACAUUUUGUCUUUUUCAGGCUAGAUAUCUUCCACUUUGGACUGGCCCUCAUUGUUUGAAGUUUUUUCCUCACCAUUUUACCAGUUAACCAGUGUAUCUGUAACCCUGAUUCAUGUACAGACCUGAAUACAUUCCUUGUUUUACAUACCAUAUAUCCAUGUGUGUUCCCUAAGAUGUAAUUAGCUCCUGCUUUUGGCAUCUCCACUGUAUCAUUUACACUGAUUUAUUUUAAUUAGUGUUUAUCAAGAUAUGAUUUACUAAGAACUGUUAUAUGUUAAAGAUAAAACAAAA